CAGUAGCCGCGGUAAUACAGAGGGUGCGAGCGUUAAUCGGAUUUACUGGGCGUAAAGCGUGCGUAGGCGGCUAAUUAAGUCGGAUGUGAAAUCCCCGAGCUUAACUUGGGAAUUGCAUUCGAUACUGGUUAGCUAGAGUGUGGGAGAGGAUGGUAGAAUUCCAGGUGUAGCGGUGAAAUGCGUAGAGAUCUGGAGGAAUACCGAUGGCGAAGGCAGCCAUCUGGCCUAACACUGACGCUGAGGUACGAAAGCAUGGGGAGCAAACAGGAUUAGAUACCCCGGUAGUCCCUGUCUCUUAUAA
rnacentral:rRNA from 1 species